rnacentral:lncRNA from 1 species
GGGCAGUAAGUCUACCUUUUCGAACCUGGGAAAAAAAUUUAAUUUUUAAAUUUUCGUGAACAAUAUACUUCCCAACAUUAUCCACCUAAUCAACACUAAAUAACAUAAGAUCCGUAAACCUAUCUAAAUUCCCUAUACUAACCACCUAAUCUAUCCUAAACUAAUCAAACUAGAGAGGAAUUAGAGAGACUUUUCAUUGCUACGAAUUAGGGAGGAAGUGGAGAGGAAGUGGAGAGGAAAGACAGAGCGAGAUCGCUCGGGAUAUAUAUAAGAUUACUUGUCCUCGUAAUUUCCUCGUAAACUUACGAGGAAUUACAGAGGCCCGCAUUUUCAUUUACGAGGAAAUAGCGACGAAAUACAAAGGCCCGAGUUUUCGUUAACGACGUUUUUACGACGAGUUGGGUUACGUGGAAUUAACGAGUUAACCAGUUACGAGGAAUUAGCGAGCCUAUAUUUUCUAUAAAUACCCACAACUUUCCUUCUCAAACCACACACAAACUCACAAAACACACCCUAUCUCAAAUCACACACCUCACCAAAAUACUUUUCAAAUUAGAAAUAUUUGAAAAAAAAAAGAAGAAAAGAAGGUAUUAGAAUUUAUGUGGGUGAGACUUAAGUCUCGCCACAUAUAAUUCCAGUAUCUUUCUUUUUUUCUUUUUUACUAGUUUUUAUACUAUGAGGAAGUAGCUAGUCCUGCUUUCCACAAAUUUAGAAAUAUUUGGAAAAAAAGAAAGAGAAGAAGAUAUUAUAAUUUAUGUGGGCGAGACUUAAGUAUUAUAAUUGCUGGAAGUCUUGCCACAUGUAAAUCUGGUGUCUCUCUUCUUUUCCUUUUUUUUCUAGUUUGUAGUCUACGAGGUUUUUACGACGAUUUUUGUUACGAGGUGUUUACGACGAAUUCAUCCUACGUGGAAUUAAAGAGUGCCUCCUUCGUCAUUUACUUUACGUGGUAUUUACGUCUAUUUACCUUACGAGGUCUUUACGACGAUUCCGUCCUACGUGGAAUUAACGGGUUUCGCUUUCUUUAUUUUUUUUAGUUUCGUCGUUAUUUCCACGUAAGCUAACGAAUUCUUUACGACGAUUAUGUCCUACGUGGAAUGAACGAGGAUUACGUCGUACAUUCGACGUCAACUUACGAGGAAUUAACGAGUAGUACGUUUAAAUCCCUAAAAUCCGAAACCCCAAACCCCAAAACCCCAUAUUCCUUAUCUUCUACUUCAUAUAUUCCAAACCCCAUCUUUAUUUCCAUUCCAAACCAUAAUUCCCACAUUUACUUAUUUAUAAAACAAACUCCCACAAUUUCUUAUUCAUAAAACAAACUCCCACAUUACCUUAUUCAUAAAACAAACUCUCACAUUACCUUAUUCAUAAAACAAACUACACAAAAUCAAAUACAUCAAUCGGAUACAUCGACAUUCUCGUCAUCACUAGAAAUAUCAUCAUUUUCAUUAAACUCGUCUUCUACAGCUUCGUCUGUGGCAUCAUCGGUAAGAUCUUCGUAUUCGUGAUUAUGCGGAUCAAUGAGAAGGAUGUCAUCAAUUUCUUGUUCAGGUUCCUCGACUUCAUUUAUCUGUUCUUCUUGCAAUGGUGGUUCUUCUCCACUGAUGAUUCAUCCUCGAGGUGUAACUUUGAUCACUGCUAACCAAUUUAUACCCGAAUCUCUCAUCCAAGGGUAUGGAAGGAAGCUAACUUGGUCUGCUUGUGAAGCUAAGAUGAAAGGCUCGAAUUUGUUGUACCGACGUCCACCGUUGACAUCAACUACACCAAAUUUGUUAGACCGAACACCUCUGUUGACGACGGGGUCGAACCAUUCACAUUUGAAGAUGACGCAUUUCAGCUUCAGUAUCCCUGGAAAUUCGACUUCAAUAAUCUCCGUCAAGAUCCCGUAGAAAUCUGUUUCCCCUUUCACACAUAUUCCAUAGUUACUGGUCGCCCGCUGUCUACCAUACUCAUAUGUGUGAAAAGUGUAGCCUCGUGUGAAAUACAUCUGUGAUGUGGUGACCUUUACAAGUGGAGAUUGAAUUACUUCGUGUAACCACUUAGGAUAAUCUGCAUCGUCGUCAUAAUCAACCUGCAAAAAUAAAGAGAACAUUAAAAUACAAAUCAUGUAUGAAAAAAUAGUUUGAGUUAUAAUACCUGAUUCCGCAACCACUUAAUGAAGUGCUGAUCUUUCCUUUUGUCUACGUCACUUGUGGAUAUACCAGGAAAUGUUUCUUCGACUUGAGAAACAAAUAGGCUGUAAAAUUAAUCACAUUUCAUAGGAAUGAAUCUCUUGCAAUUAUAUAAUUAAUUAUAUGUGUUUUGAAGUGUCCAUAUAUGUUACCUUUCAAAAUAACGCAUCAAUGGAUCCUCGCAAUUGAGUAGAAUAUAGGUGUGUGCACUAUGAGCGUCUUGUUCACUCGACCACCAAACCUCUUUAGACUUCCCACCGAGUCGUCCAAUCUGGCUAAAGAUGUCUGGAACACCAGCAACUGCAUAUGUUGGCGCAACUCCACCAUCAUCAUAUCUUCUUGGAGCUCUUCUACGGGUACGUACUUUUGACGCAAAGUAGUACGAUGUGAAGUGAGAAACUUCUUCCGUCAAACUUCCAGCAAUUAUAGAACCUUCAACUUUGGCGAGGUUCUUUGCUUUUCCCUUCAAAUAUUUCAUGGCUCGCUCAUACUGAUACAUCCAUCUGUAAUGUACAGGUCCACGAAGCAAUGCUUCAUAUGGGAGGUGGACAGCUAGAUGCUCCAUGACGUCAAAAAAUCCAGGAGGAAAUAUCUUUUCCAAGUUGCACAAUAAGAUGGGAAUGUUCUCCUGAAGCUGUUCCACAACUUCUUCUUUAAGAGUGCGUGUGCUCAGAUUCCUGAAAAAUGCUCCAAUGCCUUUUAUAUUCCAAAAACAAUUAAACACAUUGUUAGUCGUAUAUUAUUUUGCAAACUAGACCGUUAUAAAAUUAUUGUGAUAUAAAACACUACGAACCUGCAAGUGCUUCAUGUACGUUUGUUGGAAGUAGCUCCGCAAAUGCAAAGGACAGUAGUCGUUGCAUAAAGACAUGACAAUCAUGACUCUUCAUCCCAGAGAAAUUUUGACCCUUUUCAACACAUCUAGAGAGAUUUGAAACAUACCCAUCGGGGAACUUCACUUCUGAUGCCACCCAGUUGAACAACACCGACUUUUUUUCUGAAGACAGUCUGAAUAUCGGAACGGGAACUUGUCCAUUGCUUUUAAUAUGUAACUCGCUUCUUGAGCAAAUAUCCGGCAAGUCCAACCUCGAUUUUAUGGUUUCUUUUGUCUUCCCUGGGACAUUCAAUAUUGUAUUCAUGAUGUUCUCAAAGAAAUUCUUCUCUAUAUGCAUCACAUCGAGGUUGUGGCGCAGAAGAAGAUCCUUCCAAUAUGGCAACUCCCAAAAUAUACUCUUCUUGUGCCAGUUGUGAUGAACACCGUAAGAAUCAGGCAUAUUACGAGGGACAUGCCAAUUAUCACCCCAACGAACUGUUUCGUUAGCUCCGUAGUAGUCGAUUUGUGCUUCAAUUUGUUCUCCAGUUAGAUAUGGUGGAGGAGUGUCUCUCACAACCUUUUUGUGCCUAAACAAAUUCUUGUUUCUUCAGUAAGGAUGGCCAAUGGGAAGAAAUCGACGAUGACAAUCAAACCAACUUGUCUUCCUACCAUUCUUCAGUUGAAACGCAUCUGUCGUUCCAUUACAAUAUGGACAAGCUAAUCUCCCAUGUGUAGUCCAUCCAGACAACAUCUCAUAUGCAGGAAAGUCACUUAUGGUCCACAAAAGCAUAGCUCGCAUCGUAAAAUUCGUCUUCGUUGAACAGUCGUACGUCCUCACCCCUGUUGACCACAAAUCCUUCAACUCUUUUAUCAGUGGUUGUAGGAAAACAUCCAGGGACCUUUUUGGAUGGUUCGGACCAGGUAUCAAUAUCGUCAAGAAUAGCAACUCCCGUUGCAUGCACAUCUCCGGUGGCAGGUUGUAUGGCGUAAGAAAGACUGGCCACAAUGAAUAUUGUCUCCCUGACAUUCCGAACGGACUAAAUCCAUCUGUGCAUAAUCCGAGAUACACAUUCCGGCUAUUGCUAGCAAAAUCCGGAUGUACUUUGUUGAAAUGUUUCCAGGCUCUUGCAUCUGAUGGAUGAGUCAUCUCACCAUCCGUCUGAGUAUGCUCGGCAUGCCAUCUCAUCUUUGCAGCAGUCUGCUCUGAUUGAUACAAUCUUUUCAAUAUGUCUGUAAUUGGUAGGUACCACAUCCUUUGGUACGGUACCCUAUUACGUCGCCGUCCUUGCGGCUUGAAUCGUGGCUUCUUGCAGAAUCGACAUACUUCUAGCUUCUCAUCAUCUCCCCAAUAGAUCAUGCAGUUGUCAAUGCAAACAUCUAUCAUCUCCGAAGGCAACCCAAGACUAUAAACUAAUUUCUGAAUCUCAUAAUAAGAAUCAGCAGACAAAUUGUCUUCCGGCAAAUACUCUUUAAACAAGUCCGCCCAUUCGUUCAUGCAACUUUCAGGUAGAUUGUGAUCAGUUUUAAUAUUCAUCAUUCUAGCAGCCAACGACAAUUUAGAGAGACCUUCUCUACAACCACUGUAAAGUGGUUGAUUCGCCGCGUUUAACAUUCCGUAAAACUUUUUUGCAUCUAUAUUAGGUUCUUCAUCUUCAUCAUGAGCUACGAAUGCAUCAGCUACCAUAUCAUGAACCCUAUCAUAAUCUACCAUCUCCUCCUGAUGGUAACUAUGUUCAUUAUGCAAAUGAUGAUUAACCGGUUCUUCCUGAAAAUUGCUAUUACUACUACUAGCUUCAUUCUGAUCAUAAUUAUAACCUUCCCCAUGUUGAAACCAGAUAUAGGCCAUGUUCGUUUGCUCACCCAGGUGAUCCAUCUGGGUGAAGAUGCAAAUUGAUGUUCGUUUAGUGCAUUAUAAUGCUACAUCCAGAUGGAUCACCCAGCUGAACUCAUCUCAAAUUCUCAUCCAAAUGAAGGUGAGUCUUGAUGGUGCAUCUGGAUGCAGAUGCAUCUAGUUCAGUCCAAAAUAAUAAAUGACAAAAAUGAUUUUUUAAAAUUAAAGUAUUAUUUUCAAACCGUAAAUUCUAUUUUUUUUUGCACAUACAUUUUUUCGCUAUAACCAAAAAAUAUAUUUUCUCGCAAAACGGAAAAACACACUUUCCCGUCAAAACCGCAAGAUGCAUUUUUCUGCAAAAAAACAUAAAAACACAUUUUCAUUAAAACACAUUUUUCAGCUAAACCAGUAAAACCACACUUUUCGACCAAAACCCAAAAAAGGCAUAUUCCCGCCAAAACUUCAAAAGCAUUUUCCGGCCAAAACCGCAAAAAGCAUUUUCCCGCCAAAACCGGAAACAACGCAUUUUCUCGACAAAACGAAAAAAAACGCAUUUUCUCGCCAAAACCGAAAAAUACAAUUUUUCCGCCAAAACCGGAAUUUUCCCGCCAAAACUGGAAAACAGAAGUUUCCCGACAAAACCAGAAAACAUAAUUUUCCCACCAAAACCGGAAAAAUGCAUUUUCCCACCAAAACCGGAAAAAUGUAUUUUCCCGCUAAAAUCAGAAAACGUAUUUUCCCGCCAAAACCGGAAAAAUGUAUUUUCCCGCCAAAACCGGAAAAACGCAUUUUUCCGCCAAAACUUCAAAAGCAUUUUCCCGCCAAAACCGCAAAAAGUAUUUUCCUGCCAAAACCGGAAACAACGCAUUUUCCCGCCAAAACCGGAAAAUGUAUUUUACCGCCAAAACCGGAAAAUAAAAUUUUGCCGCCAAAACUGGAAAAACGCAUUUCCCGCCAAAACUGGAAAAAUGCAUUUUCCCGCCAAAACCGGAAAACGCAUUUUUCCGCAAAAACCGGAAAAACGUAUUUUUCCGCCAAAACCGGAAAAAUGUAUUUUUCCGCCAAAAUCGUGAAAAAAGACUUUUCAUGCAAAACACUUUUCCCGCCAAAACUUCAAAACACACUUUUUCCGUCCAACCCGCAAAAAACGUAUUUUUCCGCCAAACCCAUAAAACGUAUUUUUCCGCCAAAACCAUAAAAAUGCACUUGUUCGCGAAAAAUACAUAUUUCCUCAAAAAUCGCAAAAAUAUUUUCGGCCAAAACCGUAAAAAUGCUAUUUUUCCGCCGAAACGUAAAAAAUUAUAUUUUAGUCAUUUUAUUAACAAGUUCACCUAGAUGCAGAUGAAAGUUAAAAAAUGACAAGCAAACGAACAUAGUUGCAUUCAGAUGAUUCAUUUGGAUGCAUGGACGAAAUGAAGAAACGAACAACACCCAGAUGGAGCAUCUGGAUAAGACAUCUAGAUGGACCAUCUGGAUGCAUCUUCUAGAUGUACAAACGAACAGGGCCAUAGUAAUUUGGCGUGAAACCUCUAUUUAUUAAAUGCUUCCAAACAUUUUCACGGUUUGCCAAUUUCGAAUUGUUGCAUUUUCGACAAGGACAUAACAUCUUACCACUUUCUUGGGCGAGCGGUGUUGAAUCUGCUUGGUGCAUAAAUGUCUCCAGCCCCGCAAGGUAUUCUUUCGUCACUCUCCCGUUAGCAUCUCUAUGCAUAUACAUCCAAUUCCGCAACUCGUAAAUAAUCCCAGAGCCAGCCAUUUUUUUUUCUUUCACGUUUUUUGUUGUUGGUGUGUUUAAAAUGAUGUUCAAACAUCCAUAUUUAUAGAAAAUUUCGAAUCUGGUAGUUGUAAUUUUACUAUGAAAUUACGACGAAAAUUAAUUGGAUGGCCAAAAAAAAAACGUGAGCCACCUACCAAGUUGGUGGAUUCAAAAUUUCCUCGUUAAGUACACGUAAAAUAUUUCGUCGUAAAGAACUCGCGAAAUUUACGUGGCUUUUACGAGGAAAUAGUUUUUCCUCGUAAAAGCCACGUCAAUUUACAUCGUCUUUACGACGAAUAUGUUUUGUCAUUACCUUACGACGAAAUAACGAUGCUUUUCUUUUUCCACGUACUUUCCUCGCAAAAUCAACGGUUUUUUACGAGGAUUAUUUUUCCUCGUUAAAUUUCCUCGUUAAGGUUACGUUUUCUUGUAGUGUAUUAGCAUGUACUUCAUCUUCUUCCUUCUUGUUUCUCUGCUUUUUCAAUCGAGUCAAAAUCAACUUAUCCUGCACAGAAGUCAAAUCAACUUAUCUUAUGGAUAUGGAUGGUAUUAAGAGCUUUUGAAUAUAUUUUGAAUUAAUUUGAUAAGGUACACUAUAUAAUAAUAAAUUAAAUGGACAAACAAAUAACUAAAAAAGACUGAAUAUAUAUACAAACUAUAUAGUUAUAAAACCAAUUUAACAUAAAAUUAUGGAUGGAUAGAUUGUGGAUGGACAAGUUGUGUACAUAUAUUUCACACAGAUCAAUCAUUUCUGCAAAUUCAAAUUUUGUGUCCAAAUUAAAAAAACAUCAGAAAACAAGUGACCAUUGUGCAAUUAUGAAAAAGGUUAGAGUGCAAAAUUGGAAGUUAUGGGGGUUGAUUCAAAAAGACAUUUCUGUACGAUUUAGAAGUUUAAAGCACAAUGGGAAAAUAAUAAAGCAUUUAGGGACCUACUAUGAAACUAAGAAGAUAUCGCCAUUGGAAGUUAUCAAGUUCUGGGUUCAGGGCGACAGAGAGCUUGGAGAUUGGUGAUUGGCCGCGGGAAGACGUAACGGGUGUAGCUCGGACACGGUUGGCCACUGAAUCCAACCAGGAACAGGACAUGCGAGGACGCAGACCGGUUUUUGGGUUUUGUGUCACCGGCAAAGGAGGCCUAUGGCGAUUAUCUUGUAAUCAGCUCCUGGAAAUAACUCAACCUCUAGCUCAAUAUCUCUCUGACUCUUUCUUCUCUCAGCGAAGAGCGACCAUGGAGGAGACGCCAUCAUCGGAUUUGAUCUAUUGUCGUCAAAGCCAUCGUUUAUGAAUCCUUCGAAAAGAAUCACUGGUUUCACCACAAGCGAGAUUCUCUGCCAAGCAUGAACGUAUUGGAGGCGACGUAUUUGCCUAUCCCCAUCCAUUUGGAGAGAGAGUAGCGGCUGAUUCUGAAUCCUUGUGAGCCGUUGAUGGUUUCCGUGCUAGAGAUUGACUCUGUUAGAGAUGCAGAAGUCGAUUUCGAAGAUCCACUUAUCAACAGAUUUUAAUCAAACAUCGGAAUGUUCGGAUAGCUAUUCAUCCAAAUUGAAAGCUCCAAAACCCGUGGCAUGCUCCUCAUCCACAUAACACGUCGACUUGGACGAAUCCGAGAGACUCUCGUACCAACUCAGUCACCGUGUUCUCCAUUUAUUCAGACGACGGAGGAGGGAUUAGGGUUCAUUGAUUUGGGAAAGUGAUUUCAAAUUCUAAACAUGAAAAAGAAACAAAGAGGAUAAGGAGAGAAUCGUAAAGAUUUUUCUGAAUUCUAUAGUUUGUGUAAAAGUGACAAUUCAUAUAAAUAAGUAUGUCAGAUGUGUCUCUAGACGUAAUUGUAACUAGACCUUGAUCCGCGACCGCGCGAGUAUUUAAUUUAUGAUAUUUGUAAAUGUAGUCAUAUUUAUAAAUGUAAAUGUUAUAUUUGUAUUUAAUUUUAUAUUUUAGAGUUUUAGAGUAAAA